AAACGAGAACACAUACAUACUAAAUUAAAAGAUCUAGUGAGCUGCACAGUAAUCAGCUGGAGGGAAAUGAUAUGUAUUUUAAUACUCAUUUUAAGAUUGAUGCAUUAUUUUGGCAUUUGGAUACUUAGAACAGAUGAUUUAUGACACUUUGUUUCUCCCUACAAUUUGAGGAAAGACUUGUCAAACUGUAGCUUAGCUUAGCAUUAGGAAUGGAAAUAAUGGGAAAAUGCUAGCAUACCACCUCACCCAUGAGUCACAGAUUUCUGAUGUACGUGUCCUGUGUCGAACCUCGCAAAAGCUGCAGUGCCUCAUCAACAAUUUACCAAGAAAAUCUUUGGCCUCUCAUCGCCAACCUGGAACCUUUUCAAUCAACAAGGGAGUCCGGGAAGCUACGACCAUUAAGAGCAACUAAGCCCGCGUGAAAAUUGCUGGACUAUUUUUUUUUCCUGUUGCUUGUCUUUAUGCUAAGCUAAUUCGCUCAAGCUUUAGAAAGAACAUACAGACUCAACUCCUCAUCUACCUUUCAGCAAAGAAUGUUAAAAAUUGCUAUAAAUUAACAGGACAUUAAAUAGAGGAGUUGGAAUUAAA